AACAUGGAAGAAUAUAUGUAUUGCUGCGGCAAAAUCAAAAGGUGACAGUCAAAAAUUUUCAAUUAUACCUGGAGUAAUGACACUCAUCCAGCAAAAAGUCACAAAAUUCAUCAUUUCUUCAUAAAGCACAUAUAUGUAUAUGUAUAUUAUAGUUAACCUAAUCUU
rnacentral:ribozyme from 14 species